CAGCACCUCAAGUGGUCAGGAUGAUUAUUGGGCCUAAAGCAUCCGUAGCCGGCUCUGUAAGUUUUCGGUUAAAUCUGUACGCACAACGUACAGGCUGCCGGGAAUACUGCAGAGCUAGGGAGUGGGAGAGGUAGACGGUACUCGGUAGGAAGGGGUAAAAUCCUUUGAUCUAUUGAUGACCACCUGUGGCGAAGGCGGUCUACCAGAACACGUCCGACGGUGAGGGAUGAAAGCUGGGGGAGCAAACCGGAUUAGAAACCCGAGUAGUCC
rnacentral:rRNA from 1 species